rnacentral:rRNA from 1 species
UACGUAGGUGGCAAGCGUUGUCCGGAUUUACUGGGCGUAAAGGGCGCGUAGGCGGGCUGUCAAGUCUGGGGUGAAAUCCCACGGCUCAACCGUGGAACUGCCUCGGAUACUGACGGCCUCGAGGGAGGUAGGGGCGUGCGGAACUGUGGGUGGAGCGGUGAAAUGCGCAGAUAUCGGGAGGAACACCAGUGGCGAAGGCGGCACUCUGGGCCGGUACUGACGCUGAGGAGCGAAAGCGUGGGGAGCGAACAGG